rnacentral:rRNA from 1 species
AUUGAACGCUGGCGGCAUGCUUUACACAUGCAAGUCGAACGGAAACAUGGAGAGCUUGCUCUCUGAUGUCGAGUGGCGAACGGGUGAGUAAUACAUCGGAACAUGUCCUUUUGUGGGGGAUAACUACUCGAAAGAGUAGCUAAUACCGCAUAAGACCUAAGGGUGAAAGCGGGGGACCUUCGGGCCUCGCGCAGAUGGAGUGGCCGAUGACUGAUUAGCUAGUUGGUGGGGUAAAGGCCUACCAAGGCGACGAUCAGUAGCUGGUCUGAGAGGACGACCAGCCACAUUGGGACUGAGACACGGCCCAAACUCCUACGGGAGGCAGCAGUGGGGAAUUUUGGACAAUGGGGGGAACCCUGAUCCAGCCAUGCCGCGUGCAGGAAGAAGGCCUUCGGGUUGUAAACUGCUUUUGUUAGGAACGAAAAGGUGGAUACUAAUAAUGUCUACUGAUGACGGUACCUAAAGAAUAAGCACCGGCUAACUACGUGCCAGCCGCCGCGGUAAGAC